GUGGCUCAGUGGUAGAGUGCUUGCCUUGCAUGCAUAAGGCCCUGGGUUUGAUUCCCCAGC
rnacentral:tRNA from 1 species